UACGUAGGGUGCGAGCGUUGUCCGGAAUUAUUGGGCGUAAAGAGCUCGUAGGCGGUCUGUCGCGUCUGCUGUGAAAACCCGAGGCUCAACCUCGGGCCUGCAGUGGGUACGGGCAGGCUAGAGUUCGGUAGGGGAGACUGGAAUUCCUGGUGUAGCGGUGAAAUGCGCAGAUAUCAGGAGGAACACCGGUGGCGAAGGCGGGUCUCUGGGCAACAACUGACGCUGAGGAGCGAAAGCGUGGGGAGCGAACAGG
rnacentral:rRNA from 1 species